rnacentral:rRNA from 1 species
GAGUUUGAUCAUGGCUCAGAACGAACGCUGGCGGCGUGCCUAACACAUGCAAGUCGAGCGCGAAAGGAGCAAUCCGAGUAGAGCGGCGCACGGGUGCGUAACACGUGGGUAAUCUGCCUCAGGGUCAGGGAUAACUUUCCGAAAGGUUAGCUAAUACCUGGUAAGCUUACGGUGUCUUCGGACACUGUGGGAAAAGUAGGCCUCUGUUUACAAGCUUACGCCCAGAGAUGAGCCCGCGGCCCAUCAGCUAGUUGGCGGGGUAACGGCCCACCAAGGCAACGACGGGUAGCUGGUCUGAGAGGACGAUCAGCCACACUGGAACUGAGACACGGUCCAGACUCCUACGGGAGGCAGCAGUGGGGAAUUUUCCACAAUGGGCGAAAGCCUGAUGGAGCAACGCCGCGUGUGUGAUGAAGGUUUUCGGAUCGUAAAGCACUUUCGACUGGGACGAAAAACCUUUGGCUAACAUCCAGGGGCCUGACGGUACCAGGAGAAGAAGCACCGGCUAACUCUGUGCCAGCAGCCGCGGUAAUACAGAGGGUGCAAGCGUUGUUCGGAAUUAUUGGGCGUAAAGCGCGUGUAGGCGGCUUGGCAAGUCAGAUGUGAAAGCCCUCGGCUUAACCGAGGAAGUGCGUCUGAAACUGCUGAGCUUGAGUGUCGGAGAGGAUGGCGGAAUUCCGCAAGUAGAGGUGAAAUUCGUAGAUAUGCGGAGGAACACCGGUGGCGAAGGCGGCCAUCUGGACGACUACUGACGCUGAGACGCGAAAGCGUGGGGAGCAAACAGGAUUAGAUACCCUGGUAGUCCACGCUGUAAACGAUGAGAACUAGGUGUCGUGGGUGUUGACCCCCGCGGUGCCGCAGCUAACGCAUUAAGUUCUCCGCCUGGGAAGUACGGCCGCAAGGCUA